CUUCACCGACCCCAACCACACCGGCCGACCGACCGCACGCCCCUGCCCAUACGUCGCCAGCAACGCCUGCGCCUC
rnacentral:antisense_RNA from 3 species